rnacentral:rRNA from 1 species
GGAAUAUUGGUCAAUGGACGCAAGUCUGAACCAGCCAUGCCGCGUGGAGGAUGAAGGUCCUCUGGAUUGUAAACUUCUUUUAUUUGGGAAGAAAUCUAUCUUUUCUUGGAUAGUUGACGGUACCAGAUGAAUAAGCACCGGCUAACUCCGUGCCAGCAGCCGCGGUAAUACGGAGGGUGCAAGCGUUAUCCGGAUUCACUGGGUUUAGAGGGUGCGUAGGUGGGCAGGUAAGUCAGUGGUGAAAUCUCCGGGCUUAACCCGGAAACUGCCAUUGAUACUAUCUGUCUUGAAUACCCUGGAGGUGAGCGGAAUAUGUCAUGUAGCGGUGAAAUGCUUAGAUAUGACAUAGAACACCCAUUGCGAAGGCAGCUCAUUACGGGAAUAUUGACACUGAGGCACGAAAGCGUGGGGAUCAAA